GUUGGUGGCUAGAGCCGCGGGGGUACACCCGGUCCCAUCCCGAACCCGGAAGUUAAGCCCGCGAGCGCCGAUGGUACUGCACUGGCGACGGUGUGGGAGAGUAGGCCGCUGCCAACU
rfam:Chloroflexi bacterium OLB13 TZ13_contig000068, whole genome shotgun sequence.